rnacentral:rRNA from 1 species
GCUCGUAGUCUGAAUUGGCCAGCAAUGGCCUUGUGUAUAAUUACGUUCACUGUGAACAAAUCAGGACGCUUAGAGUAUGGUUACAGGAAUGACUCAGCGCAGUAUGAUAUCUUUGUUUUUUUCGGAAAACAAGCUCAAAGAGAGCCAUCGGGGGUAGAUCUAUCCCAUGACGAGUGGUGGAAUACGGUGACUCAUGGGAGAGAAUCGGAGGCGAAGGCGUCUACCUAGAGGGUUUCUGUCGAUCAAGGGCGAGAGUAGGAGUAUCCAACAGGAUUAGAGACCCUGGUAGUUCCUACUGUAAACGAUGCCGACAGGAGUUUGUCAUUUGCUAAUGGCAGAAUCUUUAGAGAAAUCAUAGUUCUUGGGCUCUGGGGGAACUACGACCGCAAGGCUGAAACUUGAAGGAAUUGACGGAAGGGCACACCAGGGGUGGAGCCUGUGGCUUAAUUUGAAUCAACACGGGGAAACUUACCAGGACCAGAUGUUUUUUAUGACUGACAGGCUUAAGGUCUUUCAGGAUAUGAUUUUUGGUGGUGCAUGGCCGUUGGUGGUGCGUGGGUUGACC